rnacentral:rRNA from 1 species
UGGGGAAUUUUGGACAAUGGGCGCAAGCCUGAUCCAGCCAUGCCGCGUGCGGGAAGAAGGCCUUCGGGUUGUAAACCGCUUUUGUCAGGGAAGAAAUCUUCUGAGUUAAUACCUCGGGAGGAUGACGGUACCUGAAGAAUAAGCACCGGCUAACUACGUGCCAGCAGCCGCGGUAAUACGUAGGGUGCAAGCGUUAAUCGGAAUUACUGGGCGUAAAGCGUGCGCAGGCGGUUUUGUAAGACAGAGGUGAAAUCCCCGGGCUCAACCUGGGAACUGCCUUUGUGACUGCAAGGCUUGAGUGCGGCAGAGGGGGAUGGAAUUCCGCGUGUAGCAGUGAAAUGCGUAGAUAUGCGGAGGAACACCGAUGGCGAAGGCAAUCCCCUGGGCCUGCACUGACGCUCAUGCACGAAAGCGUGGGGAGCAAACAGGAUUAGAUACCCUGGUAGUCCACGCCCUAAACGAUGUCAACUGGUUGUUGGGAAGGUUCCUUCUCAGUAACGUAGCUAACGCGUGAAGUUGACCGCCUGGGGAGUACGGCCGCAAGGUUGAAACUUAAAGGAAUUGACGGGGUCA